AUGAGGCGAGCUCCCGGGACCAGAGCUCCAGGGGGCAUCCCAGGACUCCGAGGAACCAGAGUCAGCUGCCAUGACCCCAUCGCGCUCCCAACUCAAAGCAAAGCCCGAGGAAAACCCAACUCCCGGGACCACCUCCUCGAGAGACGCCUCUCCAGCUCCGCACUCCUUUAACCAAACAAACCACCCCAAUCAUAGUCCAGGAAGAACCUCCAGUUAUAUCUCAGGCUACCGUUGCCCUUUCCCGCUUUCUCCUAGGCACAGCCUUCCACGCGAGUCCCCUCUGCACCCGGGACCUGGGAGCACACUGAACAGGAAAACAAACCGAAACUCACUGACCUCUCUCAGCAGCAGGCUCGGCUCUGUUACGCCGCCGGCGGCUGCAGCAACGUCGGAAGCAUCCCGGGGGUCCGCACUGCCCGCUGCGCUCUGCUAGACGAGCGCUGAGGGCCGGCUGCUGCCUGCUCCUCCCGCCGCAGGUUGCGGGGCAGCGCGGGCAGAGUGGCGGCAGCGCCUCCCGCAGCCCAGCCCUGCUCGUCUCUCCUUUGGCUUCAGGCGGCGCCCUCCACCUGCCCGGCUGUCCUCCGCCUCCACGAUCGGACACCCGCCGCCAGGCACCGGACACUGAGCGGAAGCUUUUGGUGUCACCCCCAGAGACCCAAGCACUGAAGGGAGCGGGAGGCUGAGUGAGCUCUGCUCCGCGGACCGCCCCUCCCCGGCGGCUCCACCCCCUCCCGCACUCCACCCGGCAGCUUGGCCGGCACGUCCGACUGUCUGUCUGUCGGUCGGUCCCCAGUGGCCAACCUCUUGGUGUGGGUGGGGAAGCAGGGACGCGCCCUCUACCCACCGUAGACCAGCGAGCACCUGGACCGAGCACGGAAGGAGGACCUGAACGGUAUCAGGUGUGACCUAGAGGCCGAGCACCACAGGCUAGAACGACUGGGACUGGCCAAGGUGGUGACCCAGCUGCGGCUCUGGACUCAAGACCACAGGGGAGAGGGAGGAGUCUAGGCUAUUGCCUUUCCCCUGGGUUCUUUUUGGCUGCCCCUGAAAGUUCACUAACCCAACAAGGGCAGGAACCUGUCAGCAUGGAACGGGAUAUGCUCCCAAAGAGCCCCACAGGGACACCUCACACCUCAACCUCCUGUGUAAAGGAAGCUCACAGGAGAGGUGAACAGGAAGGAGCCUAGAGGGUCUACUAAGUUUACCCUAUUGCCCACCUUAAAACCCAACUUCAGGCUCAGAGACCCAGAGCUAUCUAAGGACAAUGUUAUCUCAUCUCAAAAAGAAAAGAAAAGAAAAGAAGAGAAGAGAAGAGAAGAGAAGAGAAGAGAAGAGAAGAGAAGAGAAAGAAAGAAAAGAAGAAGAAAAAUAGCAAAGUAUUUUGAGUACUUCAAAACAUUUUCAUGGAAACUACAUCUAGGAUUGCUUACCAAAGGCAGUUAUGGGUUGAAUUAAACAUCUUUGAUUUACACAAAACACAGUCUGACUAUAAACAAUCUGUAUGGUCA
rnacentral:lncRNA from 1 species